rnacentral:rRNA from 1 species
UUCAUAGUGAUUAACGCGAAGAACCUUUACGAGACUUGACAUUCCGUGACUAUCUGUGAGAAAAGAGUCUAGCUUUGGGAACAGGGAGACAGGUGGUGCAUGGUUGUCGUCAGCUUGUGUCGUGAGAUGUUGGGUUAAGUCCCGCAACGAGCGCCACCCUUAUCCUUAGUUGCCAGCGAGUAAGGUCGGGAACUCUAUGGAGACAGCCGGUGAAAACUGGAGGAAGGUGGGGAAGGAGUCAAAUUAUCAUGCCCCUUAUGUCUCGGGCUACCCCCCUGGUUCCAAGGUUGGUACAGAGGGGAGCGAAGCCGCGAAUUGGAGCAAAUCCCACAAAGCCAAUCCCA